CGGAGAGGGCGCAUGAGACGGUGUUCCCGCACACUGGGACUGAGACACUGCCCAGACUCCUACGGGAGGCUGCAGUCGAGAAUCCUCGACAAUGGGCGCAAGCCUGAUCGGGCGACGCCGCGUGGAGGAUGAAGGUUUUCGAGUUGUAAACUCCUGUCACGGUGCAGGAAGGUUCCCAAGAUAACAUCAAGGGAAAUUGACCACACCGAGAGGAAGUCACGGCUAACUCUGUGCCAGCAGCCGCGGUAAGACAGAGGUGGCAAGCGUUGUUCGGAAUUACUGGAUAAGGGGGGGGGNCGUAGGUUGUCAGGUAGGUCAGUGGUGAAAGCCCCCGGCCCAAUCGGGGAAUUGCCUCUGAAACCAUCUGACUGGAGUGCAAAAGGGGAGAGUGGAACUCGAGGUGGAGCGGUGAUAUGCGUAGAUAUCUCGGGGAACGCCGGUGGCGAAAGCGACUCUCUGGUUUGCUACUGACACUGAGGCGCGAAAGCUAGGGGAGCAAACGGGAUUAGAUACCCCGGUAGUCCUAGCCGUAAACGAUGAGCACUAGGUAGAGGGGGUUUCAAGGCCUUCUCUGCUGGAGCUAAUGUGUUAAGUGCUCCGCCUGGGGAGAACGGUCGCAAGGGUGAAAC
rnacentral:rRNA from 1 species